UACGUAGGGACCGAGCGUUGUCCGGAAUCAUUGGGCGUAAAGAGCGUGUAGGCGGCCAUUUAAGUCCUGCGUGAAAUCCUGCGGCUCAACCGCAGACGGUCGUGGGAAACUGGAUGGCUAGAGUGCGGGAGAGGAGAGUGGAAUUCCCGGUGUAGCGGUGAAAUGCGCAGAUAUCGGGAGGAACACCAAUGGCGAAGGCAGAUCUCUGGGCCGUAACUGACGCUGAGGAGCGAAAGCAUGGGGAGCGAACAGG
rnacentral:rRNA from 1 species